AAAAAUUUGUUCCUUACCCUAUAAUAAACACUUUUCCGAUUGUAUGAACGAAAUCCCCACAACAUAAGAGAAACACUUAUACACUUUAAUGAACAGUAAAGGGAAUACUUACAAUUCGUUUUGAAAUUUGUUAUUUCAUGGUUUAUGUUCAUCUAUACAAAGAAUCCUCAAUGAUAUGCAUUACAAUUGUAUAAGAAAUGAAAUACGGCAAAAAAAUUGAUGUUUUGAAACCCCAAACACUAGUUCCUCGGUAUUUCCUCGGAAUAUUCCGAGGAGGUUCCGAAGAACAAUAUAAAUUAAUAGAAAUACAUGCACAGGAUAUUCUUUUUCCUCGAAUUUAUGAAAAUAUUCCGAGGAAAUUCCGACG
rnacentral:lncRNA from 1 species